rnacentral:tRNA from 1 species
GCCGCCUUAACUCAGUUGGUAGAGUACCACUUUCGUAAAGUGGGUGUCCCCAGUUCGAUCCUGGGAGGCGGCU